rnacentral:tRNA from 1 species
GGCCCGUUGCUCAAUGGUAGAGCGUUCGACUCAAUAACCAAUGGACGCGGGUUCGAAUCUCUCGUGUGCCA